UGGCGGACGGGUGAGUAACGCGUAAAGAACUUGCCCUUUAGACUGGGAUAACAGAGGGAAACUUCUGAUAAUACUGGAUAAGUUAGUAUAUCGCAUGAUAUGCAAAUGAAAGCUACGGCACUAAAGGAGAGCUUUGCGUCCUAUUAGCUAGUUGGUAAGGUAAGAGCUUACCAAGGCGAUGAUAGGUAGCCGGCCUGAGAGGGUGGACGGCCACAAGGGGACUGAGAUACGGCCCUUACUCCUACGGGAGGCAGCAGAC
rnacentral:rRNA from 1 species